AGACGUCGGACUGAUCAGGAGCCAA
rnacentral:piRNA from 1 species